GGCUAACUGGUAUCAAGCGUUGAUAUUUCUAGUUUUAAUUGCUCUUUGUCAAGGCCUCUUUGAAUGGAAGAACUGUGGCCAUGUAAAGAAUGAUAGCGGCUCAACAAAUUUCCCGCUUCGGGCAAAGGGCUGUGAGGGCAGGAAAGAUGUUGUCUUGUCGUGUAGGCCUGGGUACAAGAUUUCAGUCCUUAAGGCGUUCUUUGGUCAUGGCCAAGGGUACAAGUCUACUUGUGAGAACAGUUGGAUUGGUCAGAACUGCAUGUCAUACAGCGCAGAAGCGAAGAUCAGGCUUUUAUGUCAAGAYAAGAUUACAUGUACGAUAUCGCCGACCUCGAGUGUGCUCGGGAAAACAUCGUGUAUGUUCGGGUUGUAUUCGGAUUUAAUUAUCGAUUACAUAUGUCACAAAGAACUUCUGCAAGAUUCUACUUUAAUGCAAUCGUUCAAACUAUCCCCAAGCCCUAUCGUCCUUCCUGGUCAAUUCAAUGCGUCGAUUGCAUUAAUGGUUAAUAGACGUCUUCCUGGAUCUAUCAAACUGA